rnacentral:lncRNA from 1 species
GGAGAUGGAGUGUGUACAUACUCUGUUUUUUUAGUAUGUUUCUUUCUUGCGCCAUCACCUCCUGCUUUUCUUUUACUCAGAUUUGAUAGAUUGUGAUUUUGAUGCAUCAAAAAGUCAAUUUUUGUGUGAUGUCUUAUUUUUUAAUACUAGCAUGGCAAGAUGAUAGAGAAAAGUAAAUGAUUGAGUGAAAAUGUUAUGCUAUGCUGCUUGAUGCUGAGUUGCUUUAUAUUUGUCUCACCUUUGUUAUUCAGUUUGAAUUUUUAAAUAUUCUGAACUGUUGAUGCUACACAUGUAUGCAGAGGAUCAGGAGGUAUUCGCCGACUGAAAUUGAAGGCAUACACAAGUAUUUUUAUAACUUCGUAUAUUAAGAGAACAUAUUGAGUACCCUCUCUGGAAGCUAAAUAUUUGCAUGUGCUUGACAAUUUUUUCAGGAAUAUAUACGAGAUGGCAUUGACUGGGCUAAAGUUGAAUUAUACCUGUACCCUUCCUUGGAUGCUGUCAUUUCGGUUCAAACUGAUUUACGGAAGGCACACUUCCAUUAGCAAUGGAUUCACUCUUCUCCUUAUCUCUCN